CAGAUAAGUACAUAAAGUACAUAACUGCCUCCAAUGACAGUUGGAUGUAAAUGAAAUAUAAAUAAACAUCUUCGGGGCCUUCGGAGACUUUUUCCCCUUUCAUAAUUAUUUCAUAUUUAACAUAUAUGUAUUUGCUAUUGUACAUCGAAUCAGACAAAGGUUUGCACUGCCGCAAUGUCACCUUUCAGCUCUGAACAGUCUUCGUCGUCUGGCCACUUCAGGAAGUUCAGGAAGACAUGAUGAGACUCGAAUACGGAAUGCGUAUAGCCGUGUGUAUUUGUUCCGCGUCCCUGGAGGUACUUUCCGCAUACCAAACAGGCAUAGACGUUAAUCCGGAUUAGAGUCGAGACCGGCUGCUCAAAGUCGAAAACCAACGGCACUUUAGAUUUGAUUCUUCUGGCAUUAUCUUCUUAGUCAUCGGAACCAAUGUCCUCAAGUUUUGGCUUCUUAGCUGACGAGGUUUUUGACGAUGGUGCUGAAAUGGAUCGAAUGCCAUUUCAAGGACAUCAAGCAAAGCAGCAUCGACGAGUUUGCAGAAGAUACAAUUUGUGAUCCUAGCAAAGGUUUGCACUGCCGCCUUUCGGCUCGGAACAGUCUUCGUCAUCUGACAAUAUCCAAGGGUAUGAGAGCAGGAACAAAGGCUACGGAAAUGUCGAUCCGUCCGAUACACGAAAAUGCUUUGCAAUUUUCAGAUAGCACACACUACGGCCAUCCAUCCGAUGCGGCCUUUUGCUUUCGGUUAAAAUUUAGGAAUAGGAAUAUGCAUUGCAAUAGACAUUAAGCAUAAAUAGAAUUUAUGUACUAAAUGAAAAAAUCAAAAUUAA